AACGAACGCUGGCGGCAUGCCUAACACAUGCAAGUCGAACGAGACCUUCGGGUCUAGUGGCGCACGGGUGCGUAACGCGUGGGAACCUGCCCUUAGGUUCGGAAUAACUCCCCGAAAGGGGUGCUAAUACCGGAUAAUGUCUUCGGACCAAAGAUUUAUCGGCUUUGGAUGGGCCCGCGUUGGAUUAGCUAGUUGGUAGGGUAAAAGCCUACCAAGGCGACGAUCCAUAGCUGGUCUGAGAGGAUGAUCAGCCACACUGGGACUGGGACACGGCCCAGACUCCUACGGGAGGCAGCAGUGGGGAAUAUUGGACGAUGGGGGAAAGCCUGAUCCAGCAAUGCCGCGUGAGUGAUGAAGGACUUAGGGUUGUAAAGCUCUUUUACCCGGGAUGAUAAUGACGGUACCGGGAGAAUAAGCUCCGGCUAACUCCGUG
rnacentral:rRNA from 1 species